rnacentral:siRNA from 1 species
GGAAAAAUUCCUGAUGCCGAUGGA